CAUUUGGCAAGGCUCAGAUGCACUCAGCAGUAACUCUGGCUAUAGUGCAGCAGUGUUCCACCACCCGCCGUCCCAGGGGCUACCUCGGUGCGAAAGAUUACCUCAGCUGGCUGGGUAGCAGUUUGAUCCUCGACUCUCUGAUAUGAGCUUUGGGUUAUCGCCGGUGGCACCGCUCACCGGGAAUGUUAUAGUGCCAAAAUGCCUUCAUGAAGAUCCAACGCAUCUUCUUUUCAAGCCAUGUAUAGGCCUGAUGUAAGGUCAACCGGUACCCGUGUCUAUGAUCUACAGUAGAUAAAUCUACAAUCUACAAGGUGUCCAGUGUGCUUCAAGAGAAACAGGCCACUUGCAGCAAACAGUGGUCCAUUCAUUGACUGUGAUUCUGUCAGUCCCUGACAAGUAUAAAUAUAUCCAAGGUGUUAGCUGAAAAACGCUGGUUUUAACACCUGCAAGUGUUUUAAAUUCACUGUUAAAGGUUUGACAGGUGGAAUGUGAACCCAGUCUGCAUCAGACUGACUUUGUUAGAAUUAAUUAAAGAGAAUAAAUCCA